CUGUGAGUCUUUGGUCCUCAAUCUGCUCCAGGUUCAAUGAACCACCUGUGUUGAUGACGCGCAACAUCGUAGGUGUGUUUGAUUUGUGUCACUUGGCGUACCGGCCGGGUGGUGCCUGACAUUCCUGCUUAAUUAAAGCUGCUCCCUACAUCCCCCUGUGUCUCUGAUCUCUGCUACUCCUCUUUUUCCCCAUCUCCCCAUCCAUGCCGUUCUCUCUCUCUCUCUCCCCUGUAAUCACUCUCCACUGAACCAAAAAAGAGCGAAUGAGAUGGCACCAAGAGAGAACCGCAGGUGUCUAUUGAAGUGUUGACCAGCCAGGCAGGCCACCUAUGAGCGCCCACAUCCCACAAGCCUGAACUUGCCUGAAGGUCGCACCUUUCCGAGCCACCGCAUGCAGCUGCUCGGGGCCUCCGAGGCCGUGCAGUCCGGCACCUGCCUGCUGAGCGAAAUCAAAAAGAGCCGGGACGGACCUUCAAUCGCACCAAAGUCAAAAGAUUCUCAGCUUGUUAUUCAUCUGUCAAGAGCAGAGCUAAGGAACGUCUCUGCAGGGAACACACCAAUCUGAUAUCUGUCUGUGAGAUGUUUGCCCUUUUGUGUUCUUUUUCAACUGAUAUAUGUCAAGUAAAGUCGCAGCAGAGAAAUAUAAUGAGGAGAGCGAUGAGUAGCAGAGAAAAGUGGAAUAAGCUGGCAGAGUCCUGCAGAGAGGAGAGUGCAGGAGUAUCCAUAAUCACCGGAUGACACAUUGACAUUGUGUGGAAAUGCUCCAACUGUAUAAAAAUGAAGCUUACAACAAAA